UUGUAAUCAGUGUUUCACAAUUGAUGCAGAGCUAUAUUUCCAUGUCUUGCACACUUUUUAGAAAUUUUCACGUGUGGUAGGGUUCCCAAUUACACAUUUUCCUCUGUUCGGCACAUCACAUUGACACAUGCAAGAAAAGAGCAUAUUCUGUGAACAUGUUCCUUGGCAAUAGCGCAUAUAACAUUGCCUCACAGUGCUGCAUUAACGAAC